CCUACGGGUUGCAGCAGUGGGGAAUAUUGCACAAUGGGCGCAAGCCUGAUGCAGCCAUGCCGCGUAUAUGAAGAAGGCCUUCGGGUUGUAAAGUACUUUCAGCGAGGAGGAAGGCGAUAAGGUUAAUAACCUUGUCGAUUGACGUUACUCGCAGAAGAAGCACCAGCUAACUCCGUGCCAGCAGCCGCGGUAAUACGGAGGGUGCAAGCGUUAAUCGGAAUUACUGGGCGUAAAGCGCACGCAGGCGGUCUGUCAAGUCGGAUGUGAAAUCCCCGGGCUCAACCUGGGAACUGCAUUCGAAACUGGCAGGCUAGAGUCUUGUAGAGGGGGGUAGAACUCCAGGUGUAGCGGUGAAAUGCGUAGAGAUCUGGAGGAAUACCGGUGGCGAAGGCGGCCCCCUGGACAAAGACUGACGCUCAGGUGCGAAAGCGUGGGGAGCAAACAGGAUUAGAUACCCGUGUAGUC
rnacentral:rRNA from 1 species